GUGUCGGUAGCUUUAUUUUUUUGGGUAAACCGUUUGGUUUUCGACCACUAGGACCCGGGUUCGAUUCCCGCAUUGGGCACU